CCUACGGGUGGCAGCAGUGAGGAAUAUUGGUCAAUGGACGAGAGUCUGAACCAGCCAAGUAGCGUGAAGGAUGACUGCCCUCUGGGUUGUAAACUUCUUUUAUAUGGGAAUAAAAUGUUCCACGUGUGGGUUUUUGUAUUUACCAUAUGAAUAAGGACCGGCUAAUUCCGUUCCAGCAGCCGCGGUACUACGGAGGAUCCGAGCGUUAUCCGGAUUUAUUGGGUUUAAAGGGAGCGUAGGUGGAUUGUUAAGUCAGUUGUGAAAUUUUGCGGCUCAACCGUAAAAUUGCAGGUGAAACUGGCAGGCUUGAGUACAGUAGAGGUGGGCGGAAUUCGUGGUGUAGCGGUGAAAUGCUUAGAUAUCACGAAGAACUCCGAUUGCGAAGGCAGCACACUGGACUGCAACUGACACUGAGGCGCGAAAGUGUGGGUAUCAAACAGGAUUAGAUACCCUUGUAGUC
rnacentral:rRNA from 1 species